GGGCCUCGUUCACCCUAAUGGUAUUGACUGCUGCUCAUUCUGUCGCGCCAGAUUAGUAAUAAAGGAUAAACACUGGAGGAGCCCUGUGUGGAAAGACUGAAGGACAGCACCAAACCCCGUGUUCUUUCCCAGCUGCAGUGCUGCUGUGAGCCCUGACCUUGGCUCCAAGUCUGCAGAGACUCUUGGGGAUCUCUGUCAGCCCUAGCGUGGGCGCGCUGAAUGUCCUCAGGCACUCUCCUCCCUCUUACCAAAGCAAGCAUAAGGAGCACGAUACUGCUAAUGCCUGCCUGUGACUCGCUGUGUCCCCGAGCUGCUCAGAUGUAAGCACCCUGCACAGAGUGCCUUUUGUAGUUGUUCCCAUUAGGGACCCUAUCCAUAGGUCUCCACAGUGGUACCACCAAAACCUCAUGCAUGCUCUUCUUUAAAGAUGAGUGUGCAAGAAAAAAGUCAUUAAAUGAGCAGGAGAUUGAGGUUGAAUGGAACUUUCUUUGUAUAAACUCAGUUUACACAGAUAUUUGAAUAUAGCUACUUUAUCCUGUCUAGUAGGAAUGUAUUUACCCUAUCAUUAAAAAACAGAUCUUUUUCUAUUCUUUGCCUAAGAGCCUGUUCUAUAUGCCUAUCUGCCUUGCAUCCAUAUCCAGCUUUUUGUAGGGAAUGUGAAGGGAGUCUUUAGCAAGUCCUUUACACUGUCCAUAAGGUUACUAUGACACGGCAAUCUGGAAUCUGAUCUCAGGUUUCCAGGACCUGAUCUUGAAAGGUCUGGGAGGACGAUCUAUUUAUCUUCCCUUAUGAUGUUUUGUUUCUCACGGAACCAAUCUCUUCUUUCUGUUUGCUCCCACUUUGAGGUCGUAAUCCCCUGUUUGUGAUACCAGCAGGAUUCCCACAGCAACAGAUUAUGAUGUCACAGGCAGAGAUUUAUGAAGCCAUAGGCAGAGAAACAGGAAGAAGGGCUCUGUUGUGAGACGUCCCAGUCUGCGAAGUCUUUUUUUAGUAAUUGUCCAAGUGGGAGGAAACCCAUCUCACAGAAGUUAUAUUUUAACCAUCUAAGCAACUGGUUUUCAAACUGUGACAGAGCAUGGAUAUUCAGCAGCAGGUUUUCUGCUUUUAAGCCCAUUCAUAAAUCCUGAAUGAAUACUCUCAAAACCUUUGAGGCGAUUUCACAGGUGUCACUAACAAAGGAGGAAAAUGCAUUGGCAUGGACAACACUUAUACCAAAUGUCUUUGUAAAAUGAAAGAAGAGGCAUAAGCUGCACUUUUACAGCAACAUGAGUUACUGGUGUCACUUAGAAGUUCCAGCACCCUUCUACUUCUGCUGUUCAUCACUGUCCUCCCACUGCUCUUUCUGUUAUGCUGGCAAAACCAUUCAUAUGAACUCUCUUAUGAACUUAAUCAGAGAAAUGGUGACAUAAAGGCAUGAACAAGCAGCCUGCAGUGUCACUGUUGUUAACUUAGAGCAGUGUGAAAAUGCUUGGGCUAAUUUUAAACAAGCAGCCUUUGAAACAAUCUAUCUGGGCAGUGGUGCUAAGCAUGGACUCUCUUGGUUUGCUUCUGAGCAGAAGACUUGACUAUCUGUGGGAAACAAGGCAGAUGGGAGAGAAGAUGCCUAGUUGUAAAAUAAAAGAUUGAAAAGACAAAGAAU